CUCGGAGAGCAACUUGACUUUGAAUGCAGCAUAUAAUCACCACUAACACACAGUGUGUUUGCUCUUGGCCGGGCACUAUUCCAAGUUCUUUCUGUUUUCCCAGUUUUUCUACCUGCAGACAGAGAAUUGUUCUUCUUCUGUGGAUGCCUCCGGGUCCCUUUGCCAGCCUACCUCCCUCGUAAGAACUCAGGACCACACUGACCAGCAGUGCUGACUGUAGGCAGCUCACCUUCCUCCUGACCUUGGAGACCUUGAGUACCAUGUGAGUGAUGAGCUUGUCAGACGGGGCUCUCAGCACACCCACCCAGGGG
rnacentral:lncRNA from 1 species